UACAGAGGGUGCAAGCGUUAAUCGGAAUUACUGGGCGUAAAGCGUGCGUAGGCGGUUGUUUAAGUUGGAUGUGAAAUCCCCGGGCUUAACCUGGGAACUGCAUUCAAGACUGGAUAACUCGAGUCUGGGAGAGGGUGGUGGAAUUUCCUGUGUAGCGGUGAAAUGCGUAGAUAUAGGAAGGAACAUCAGUGGCGAAGGCGACUGCCUGGCCCAAGACUGACGCUGAGGCACGAAAGCGUGGGUAGCAAACAGGAUUAGAUACCCCGGUAGU
rnacentral:rRNA from 1 species